rnacentral:rRNA from 1 species
CAGUAGCCACGGUAAUACGGAGGAUCCAAGCGUUAUCCGGAAUCAUUGGGUUUAAAGGGUCCGUAGGCGGUCUUGUAAGUCAGUGGUGAAAGCCCAUCGCUCAACGGUGGAACGGCCAUUGAUACUGCAGGACUUGAAUUAUUGGGAAGUAACUAGAAUAUGUAGUGUAGCGGUGAAAUGCUUAGAGAUUACAUGGAAUACCAAUUGCGAAGGCAGGUUACUACCAAUUGAUUGACGCUGAUGGACGAAAGCGUGGGUAGCGAACAGGAUUAGAUACCCCGGUAGUCCCUGUCUCUUAUAA